GACGAACCGUGCGAACGUUAUUCGGAAUUACUGGGCUUAAAGCGCGUGUAGGCGGGCCGGCACGUCCGGUGCUGAAAGCCCCCGGCCCAACCGGGGAACUGCGUCCAGUACUGCGUUGCUUGAGGAUCCAAGGGGUGCAUGGAAUUCCCGGUGGAGCGGUGAAAUGCGUUGAUAUCGGGAGGAACUCCGGCGGCGAAAGCGGUGCACUGGUGGAUUACUGACGCUGAGGUGCGAAAGCCAGGGGAGCAAACGGG
rnacentral:rRNA from 1 species